AUUGAACGCUGGCGGCAGGCCUAACACAUGCAAGGUCGAGCGGGGUUUUCGGACCUAGCGGCGGACGGGUGAGUAAUGCGUAGGAAGCUGCCCGAUAGAGGGGGAUACCAGUUGGAAACGACUGUUAAUACCGCAUAAUGUCUACGGACCAAAGUGUGGGACCUUCGGGCCACAUGCAUCGGAUGCGCCUACGUGGGAUU
rnacentral:rRNA from 1 species